GGGAAAGUAGCAUAAUUGGUUAAUGCGUCUCGCGCAAUAUCUUUCAAGGGAUGGUUGAGCAGCAAGAAGUACUCGAUUCGAUUCUGGGCUUUCCCA